AUGUGGUAUGCUCCUAUAAUACCACUGUUGAAACGUCUGUUCAUGAACAAAAAGCAUGCCAAGUCGUUGCGAUGGCACAAAGAGGACCGUAAGUCCGACGGGGAGUUGAGACACCCCGCUGAUGGAACGCAAUGGAGAAAGAUCGACAGAGUGUUCAAAGAUUUUGCAGCUGACGCAAGGAACAUAAGAUUUGGUCUAAGUACUGAUGGCAUGAAUCCUUUUGGCGAGCAGAGCUCCAGCCAUAGCACCUGGCCCGUGACUCUAUGCAUCUACAACCUUCCUCCUUGGUUGUGCAUGAAGCGGAAGUUCAUUAUGAUGCCAGUGCUCAUCCAAGGUCCAAAACAACCCGGGAACGACAUCGAUGUGUACCUAAGGCCAUUAGUUGAUGAACUUUUACAGUUGUGGGCCAGACCUGGUGUACGUGUCUGGGAUGAGCACAAAGGAGAGGAAUUUGACCUACGAGCGUUGCUUUUUGUAACCAUCAACGAUUGGCCUGCUCUCAGUAACCUUUCGGGACAGACAAAUAAGGGAUACAAUGCAUGCACGCACUGCUUACAUGAGACUGAAAGUGUACGUUUGGUUAAUUGUAAGAAGAACGUGUACCUGGGUCAUCGUCGAUUUCUUCCCCGAAAUCAUAACGUAAGAAAGAAAGGCAAGCAUUUCAACGGCAAGGCAGAUCACCGGCCGAAGCCUGCGGAACGUACUGGUGCUGAGAUAUUUGAUAUGGUCAAGGAUUUGAAAGUCAUCUUUGGAAAGGGUCCUGGCGGACAAUCAGUUCCGCGGGGAGUUGACGGGCACGCACCCAUGUGGAAGAAGAAAUCUAUAUUUUGGGAUCUAGAAUAUUGGAAAGUCCUAGAUGUCUGCUCUGCAAUCGACGUGAUGCAUGUUACGAAGAAUAUUUGCGUGAACCUGCUAAGCUUCUUGGGCGUGUAUGGGAAGACAAAUGAUACAAAGGAAGCACGGCAGGACCAGCAACUUUUGAAAGACCCAGAUGACCGGCAUCCGGAAUGGUUUCAAGGUCGUGCCAACUACGCUCUUACCAAAGAAGAGAAGGUCAUUUUUUUUGAAUGCCUGAGCAGUAUGAAGGUCCCGUCUGGCUUCUCGUCGAAUAUAAAGGGAAUAAUAAACAUGGCGGAGAAAAAGUUCCAAAACCUGAAGUCUCACGACUGCCACGUGAUUAUGACGCAAUUGCUUCCGAUUGCUUUGAGGGGGCUCCUACCGGAAAAUGUUCGAGUAGCCAUUGUGAAGCUUUGUGCAUUCCUCAAUGCAAUCUCUCAGAAGGUAAUCAAUCCAGAAGAUCUACCACGGUUACAGAACGAUGUGGUCCAAUGCCUUGUCAGUUUCGAGUUGGUGUUCCCACCAUCCUUCUUCGAUAUUAUGACGCACCUCCUGCUCCACCUAGUCGAAGAGAUUUCCAUUCUCGGUCCUGUAUUUCUACACAAUAUGUUCCCCUUUGAGAGGUUCAUGGGAGUAUUAAAGAAAUAUGUUCGUAACCCUGCUAGGCCAGAAGGAAGCAUCGUCAAGGGCUAUGGAAAUGAGGAGGUAAUUGAGUUCUGUAUUGACUAUGUUCCUGACCUUAAGCCGAUUGGUAUUCCUUAA
rnacentral:rRNA from 1 species